rnacentral:rRNA from 1 species
UACGUAGGUGGCAAGCGAUACUCGGAAUCACUAGGCGUAAAGCGCAGGUAGGCGGUUCGGUAAGUCUUUUGUGAAAGCUCCCGGCUCAACUGGGAGAGGUCAAGGGAAACUACCGGACUAGAGUGUGGUAGGGGAUACUGGAAUUCCUGGUGUAGCGGUGAAAUGCGUAGAUAUCAGGAGGAAUACCUAUGGCGAAAGCAGGUAUCUGGGCCAUCACUGACGCUGAGCUGCGAAAGCUAGGGGAGCAAACAGG